GACAGAGGGUGCAAACGUUGUUCGGAAUUACUGGGCGUAAAGCGUGUGUAGGCGGUUUGCUAAGUCGGGUGUGAAAGCCCCGGGCUCAACCCGGGAAGUGCACUCGAAACUGGCAGGCUAGAGUAUCGGAGAGGUUGGUGGAGUUCUCGGUGUAGAGGUGAAAUUCGUAGAUAUCGAGAGGAACACCGGUGGCGAAGGCGGCCAACUGGACGAAUACUGACGCUGAGACACGAAAGCGUGGGGAGCAAACAGG
rnacentral:rRNA from 1 species